GAAGGAUCGUGAGGUCCCGCUUUCACGGUCUGUAUUCAUACUGAAAAUCAAGAUCAAGCAAGCUUUUGCCCUUCUGCUCCACGGGAGGUUUCUGUCCUCCCUGAGUUCGCAUUAGAGAGUGUGUAGAGAAAGAGUGU